GCCAGGUGUGGUGGCGCACACCUGUAGUCCCAGCUACUUGGGAGGCUGAGAUGGGAGAAUCGCUUGAACCCAGGAGGCAGAGGUUGCAGUGAGCCGAGAUCGUGUCACUGCACUACAGCCUGGGUGAUAGAAUGAUACUCUGUCUCAA
rfam:Gorilla gorilla gorilla genomic chromosome, chr12, whole genome shotgun sequence